GUUUAAAUAAUAAAAUAUUAUUAAUUCUUUUAUAUAGAAUAGUUAUGCGUCAUUUAGAUUUUGUCUUAAGUCC
rnacentral:tRNA from 1 species